ACGCUCGACACCUACGGUAGGCAGCAGUGAGGAAUAUUGGUCAAUGGGCGCAGGCCUGAACCAGCCAAGUAGCGUGAAGGAUGACUGCCCUAUGGGUUGUAAACUUCUUUUAUAUGGGAAUAAAGUUUUCCACGUGUGGAAUUUUGUAUGUACCAUAUGAAUAAGGAUCGGCUAACUCCGUGCUAGCAGCCGCGGUAAUCUGAGCGGGCUGGCAAGGC
rnacentral:rRNA from 1 species